AGCGCAACCCUUGUCCUUAGUUACCAGCACGUUAUGGUGGGCACUCUAAGGAGACUGCCGGUGACAAACCGGAGGGAAGGUGGGGGAUGACGUCAAGUCAUCAUGGCCCUUACGGCCUGGGCUACACACGUGCUACAAUGGUCGGUACAAAGGGUUGCCAAGCCGCGAGGUGGAGCUAAUCCCAUAAAACCGAUCGUAGUCCGGAUCGCAGUCUGCAACUCGACUGCGUGAAGUCGGAAUCGCUAGUAAUCGUGAAUCAGAAUGUCACGGUGAAUACGUUCCCGGGCCUU
rnacentral:rRNA from 1 species